AUUGAACGCUGGCGGCAGGCCUAACACAUGCAAGUCGAGCGGAGCGGCGGACGGGUGAGUAAUGCCUAGGACUCUGCCUGGUAGUGGGGGAUAACGUCCGGAAACGGGCGCUACUACCGCAUACUAUCAGAUGAGCCUAGGUCGGAUUAGCUAGUUGGUGGGGUAAAGGCCUACAAAGGCGACGAUCAGUAACUGGUCUGAGAGGAUGAUCAGUCACACUGGAACUGAGACACGGUCCAGACGCCUACGGGAGGCAGCAGGGGGGAAUAUUGCACAAUGGGCGCAAGCCUGAUGCAGCCAUGCCGCGUGUGUGAAGAAGGCCUUCGGGUUGGAAAGUACUUUCAGCGAGGAGGCGUUACUCGCAGAAGAAGCACCGGCUAACUCCGUGCCAGCAGCCGCGGUAAUUC
rnacentral:rRNA from 1 species